rnacentral:lncRNA from 1 species
UUAAAUCUCAUGCUAUCAUUAAUACAUCACAAAUGUCAUUAUAUGUCCUCUUAUCUCACCACGUGCAUAAGUCAUUGUCUCAUCCAGAUUCAAAAGCUCACAAAUUAAAUGCACUCAUUUUUUCAUUUCAUUUUUCCUUUGCUACAUUAAUGAUAUAAGUUUGGACAAGUUAGUCUCAUCUUUAUCAUGAGUGAAGCUAUAGAUAUAGAUUAGCUGGGUGGCACAAAG